rnacentral:rRNA from 1 species
GGAAUUUUCCGCAAUGGGCGAAAGCCUGACGGAGCAACGCCGCGUGAGGGAUGAAGGCCUCUGGGCUGUAAACCUCUUUUCUCAAGGAAGAAGAUCUGACGGUACUUGAGGAAUAAGCCACGGCUAAUUCCGUGCCAGCAGCCGCGGUAAUACGGGAGUGGCAAGCGUUAUCCGGAAUUAUUGGGCGUAAAGCGUCCGCAGGCGGCCUUGAAAGUCUGUCGUUAAAGCGUGGAGCUUAACUCCAUUUAAGCGAUGGAAACUACAAGGCUAGAGUGUGGUAGGGGCAGAGGGAAUUCCCGGUGUAGCGGUGAAAUGCGUAGAUAUCGGGAAGAACACCAGUGGCGAAGGCGCUCUGCUGGGCCAUAACUGACGCUCAUGGACGAAAGCCAGGGGAGCGAAAGGGAUUAGAUACCCCUGUAGUCCUGGCCGUAAACGAUGAACACUAGGUGUCGGGGGAAUCGACCCCCUCGGUGUCGUAGCCAACGCGUUAAGUGUUCCGCCUGGGGAGUACGCACGCAAGUGUGAAACUCAAAGGAAUUGACGG